UACGGGGGGGGCAAGCGUUGUUCGGAAUUACUGGGCGUAAAGGGCUCGUAGGUGGCCCUCUCAGUCGGAUGUGAAAUCCCCAGGCUCAACCUGGGAAUGGCAUCCGAUACUGGAGGGCUUGAAUCCGGGAGAGGGAUGCAGAAUUCCAGGUGUAGCGGUGAAAUGCGUAGAUAUCUGGAGGAACACCAAUAGCGAAGGCAGCUCGCUGGGACGUUACUGACACUGAGGCGCGAAAGCGUGGGGAGCGAACAGG
rnacentral:rRNA from 1 species